AACCGAAAAAGGCAAAUCAUCCGCGAGGGUGAGGCGCAAAGCUGCCUGCCCCGUAAGUGCGGGGUGGAGGGGCUGCCGAA
rnacentral:ncRNA from 1 species